AUGCAAGUCGAGCGAGGGUCUUCGGACCCUAGCGGCGGACGGGUGAGUAACACGUAGGCAACCUGCCUGUAAGACUGGGAUAACAUAGGGAAACUUAUGCUAAUACCGGAUAGGGUUUUGCUUCUCCUGAAGCGAAACGGAAAGAUGGCGCAAGCUAUCACUUACAGAUGGGCCUGCGGCGCAUUAGCUAGUUGGUGAGGUAAUGGCUCACCAAGGCGACGAUGCGUAGCCGACCUGAGAGGGUGACCGGCCACACUGGGACUGAGACACGGCCCAGACUCCUACGGGAGGCAGCAGUAGGGAAUUUUCCACAAUGGACGAAAGUCUGAUGGAGCAACGCCGCGUGAACGAUGAAGGCUUUCGGGUCGUAAAGUUCUGUUGUUAGGGAAGAAACAGUGCCAUUUAAAUAAGGUGGCACCUUGACGGUACCUAACGAGAAAGCCACGGCUAACUACGUGCCAGCAGCCGCGGUAAUACGUAGGUGGCAAGCGUUGUCCGGAAUUAUUGGGCGUAAAGCGCGCGCAGGUGGCUAUGUAAGUCUGAUGUUAAAGCCCGAGGCUCAACCUCGGUUCGCAUUGGAAACUGUGUAGCUUGAGUGCAGGAGAGGAAAGUGGUAUUCCACGUGUAGCGGUGAAAUGCGUAGAGAUGUGGAGGAACACCAGUGGCGAAGGCGAC
rnacentral:rRNA from 1 species